GGCGGUUCUGCUGACCACCGUUGUUCCAGCCCCUCAUCUGUCUGCCAGUCUCCAUCGUUCCAGUCUUGGCCCGCCAUCUCCCAGCCGAGCCGAGAGCCGUGGGGAAAACUUCAAAAUUGCAGUCAACGGUCGGCAGAAUGAAUGGGAAAAGACCGGGAGUAGAGUGAAUCAUAACAUCCUGUUUCUAGAAAGCCUCACCUGACCUCAGAGC